CCUACGGGAGGCAGCAGUAAGGAAUAUUGGACAAUGCUCGCAAGAGUGAUCCAGCCAUGCCGCGUGCAGGAAGACGGCCCUAUGGGUUGUAAACUGCUUUUGAACUAGAGAAAACCCUCCUACGUGUAGGAGGCUGAUAGUAUAGUUAGAAUAAGCAUCGGCUAACUUCGUGCCAGCAGCCGCGGUAAGACGAAGGAUGCAAGCGUUAUCCGGAUUCAUUGGGUUUAAAGGGAGCGUAGGUGGACUGAUAAGUCAGUGGUGAAAUCUCUCGGCUUAACCGAGAAAUUGCCAUUGAUACUGUUGGUCUUGAGUACAGUUGCUGUGGGCGGAAUAUGACAUGUAGUGGUGAAAUACAUAGAGAUGUCAUAGAACACCGAUUGCGAAGGCAGCUCACAAAGCUGUAACUGACACUGAGGCUCGAAAAGUGNGGGAGUACAACAAGAUAGUAUACCUACGUAGUCGCACCGUAACGAAUANAUACUCGUCUGCUGGAGGUAACGUUUACGUAGUGGNGUUAGUACGAAAGAACGAGUAAAGUUAAAGUUACUACCGUUACGGGGUUAGGUACGGCCGGCCGACGGAGGAAACGUUAAAAGUUAAGAAGUUAGACGGACGUUGAGACGAGCCGACGGACGACGAACGAAGGGGAAGGUAAGGGAG
rnacentral:rRNA from 1 species